rnacentral:siRNA from 1 species
UCAAACGGAGUUAUCGAGUGCCA